rnacentral:rRNA from 1 species
GAGUUUGAUCAUGGCUCAGAUUGAACGCUGGCGGCAUGCCUUACACAUGCAAGUCGAACGGCAGCACGGGAGCUUGCUCCUGGUGGCGAGUGGCGAACGGGUGAGUAAUGCAUCGGAACGUAUCCUGGAGUGGGGGAUAACGUAGCGAAAGUUACGCUAAUACCGCAUAUUCUGUGAGCAGGAAAGCGGGGGACCUUCGGGCCUCGCGCUCUUGGAGCGGCCGAUGUCGGAUUAGCUAGUUGGUGAGGUAAAGGCUCACCAAGGCGACGAUCCGUAGCAGGUCUGAGAGGAUGAUCUGCCACACUGGAACUGAGGCACGGUCCAGACUCCUACGGGAGGCAGCAGUGGGGAAUUUUGGACAAUGGGGGCGACCCUGAUCCAGCCAUGCCGCGUGAGUGAAGAAGGCC